rnacentral:rRNA from 1 species
CAGCAGCCGCGGUAAUACGUAGGGUGCGAGCGUUAAUCGGAAUUAUUGGGCGUAAAGCGCGCGCAGGUGGUUUAAUAAGUCUGAUGUGAAAGCCCACGGCUCAACCGUGGAGGGUCAUUGGAAACUGUUAAACUUGAGUGCAGGAGAGAAAAGUGGAAUUCCUAGUGUAGCGGUGAAAUGCGUAGAGAUUAGGAGGAACACCAGUGGUGAAGGCGGCUUUUUGGCCUGUAACUGACACUGAGGCGCGAAAGCGUGGGGAGCAAACAGGAUUAGAUACCCCCGUAGUCCCUGUCUCUUAUAC